GCCCUCGUAGCUCAGGGGAUAGAGCACCGCUCUCCUAAAGCGGGUGUCACAGGUUCGAAUCCUGUCGAGGGCACCA
rnacentral:tRNA from 2 species